rfam:Gymnopus luxurians FD-317 M1 unplaced genomic scaffold GYMLTscaffold_7, whole genome shotgun sequence.
GCCCGCCUAGCUCAAUCGGAUAGAGCGUCAGACUCUUAAAAUGAGAAGCGGGAUCUGAAGGCUGCGAGUUCGACCCUCGCGGUGGGCU